UACGCUGGCGGCACGCCUUAUACAUGCAAGUCGAACGAAGUAGCAAUACUUAGUGGCAGACGGGUGAGUAACAUGUAGGUAUCUACCCUUUGGCCUGGAAUAACACGAGGAAACUUGUGCUAAUACCGGAUAAGUCUUUACGGAGAAAGCUUUAUGCACCAUUGGAUGAGCCUGCACUAGAUUAGUUUGUUGGUGGGGUAAUGGCCUACCAAGACUAUGAUCUAUAGCUGAUUUGAGAGGAUGAUCAGCCACAUUGGAACUGAGACACGGUCCAAACUCCUACGGGAGGCAGCAGUAGGGAAUCUUGCACAAUGGAGGAAACUCUGAUGCAGCGAUGCCGCGUGAGUGAAGAAGGCCCUUGGGUUGUAAAGCUCUUUCGUCGGGGAAGAAAAUGACUGUACCCGAAU
rnacentral:rRNA from 1 species